AGUUUGAUUCUGGCUCAGGACGAACGCUGGCGGCGCGCCUAACACAUGCAAGUCGAACGGAGCUUAGAGAGCUUGCUUUUUAAGCUUAGUGGCGAACGGGUGAGUAACGCGUGAGUAACCUGCCCUAGAGUGGGGGGACAACAGUUGGAAACGACUGCUAAUACCGCAUAAGCCCACGGUGCCGCAUGGCACUGAGGGAAAAGGAUUUAUUCGCUUUAGGAUGGACUCGCGUCCAAUUAGCUAGUUGGUGAGGUAACGGCCCACCAAGGCGACGAUUGGUAGCCGGACUGAGAGGUUGAACGGCCACAUUGGGACUGAGACACGGCCCAGACUCCUACGGGAGGCAGCAGUGGGGGAUAUUGCACAAUGGGGGAAACCCUGAUGCAGCGACGCCGCGUGGAGGAAGAAGGUUUUCGGAUUGUAAACUCCUGUCGUUAGGGACGAUAAUGACGGUACCUAACAAGAAAGCGCCGGCUAACUACGUGCCAGCAGCCGCGGUAAAACGUAGGUCGCAAGCGUUGUCCGGAAUUACUGGGUGUAAAGGGAGCGCAGGUGGGAGGACAAGUUGGAAGUGAAAUCCAUGGGCUCAACCCAUGAAUUGCUUUCAAAACUGUUUUUCUUGAGUAGUGCAGAGGUAGAUGGAAUUCCCGGUGUAGCGGUGGAAUGCGUAGAUAUCGGGAGGAACACCAGUGGCGAAGGCGGUCUACUGGGCACCAACUGACGCUGAGGCUCGAAAGCAUGGGUAGCAAACAGGAUUAGAUACCCUGGUAGUCCACACCGUAAACGAUGAUUAAUAGGUGUUGGAGGAUUGACCCCCUCCAGUGCCGCAGCUAACACAAUAAGUAAUCCACCUGGGGAGUACGACCGCAAGGUUGAAACUCAAAGGAAUUGACGGGGGCCCGCACAAGCAGUGGAGUAUGUGGUUUAAUUAGACGCAACGCGAAGAACCUUACCAAGUCUUGACAUCCCUUGACGAUGCUGGAAACAGUAUUUCUCUUCGGAGCAAGGAGACAGGUGGUGCAUGGUUGUCGUCAGCUCGUGUCGUGAGAUGUUGGGUUAAGUCCCGCAACGAGCGCAACCCUUAUGGUCAGUUACUACGCAAGAGGACUCUGGCCAGACUGCCGUUGACAAAACGGAGGAAGGGGGGGAGGACGUCAAAUCAUCAUGCCCCCUAUGACUUGGGGUACACACGUACUACAAUGGCGUUAAACAAAGAGAAGCAAGACCGCGAGGUGGAGCAAAACUCAGAAACAACGUCCCAGUUCGGACUGCAGGCUGCAACUCGCCUGCACGAAGUCGGAAUUGCUAGUAAUCGUGGAUCAGCAUGCCACGGUGAAUAAGUUCCCGGGCCUUGCAC
rnacentral:rRNA from 1 species